AGCAGUCGCCGCGGGAAUACGUAGGUGGCAAGCGUUGUCCGGAAUUAUUGGGCGUAAAGGGCUCGCAGGCGGUUUCUUAAGUCUGAUGUGAAAGCCCCCGGCUCAACCGGGGAGGGUCAUUGGAAACUGGGAAACUUGAGUGCAGAAGAGGAGAGUGGAAUUCCACGUGUAGCGGUGAAAUGCGUAGAGAUGUGGAGGAACACCAGUGGCGAAGGCGACUCUCUGGUCUGUAACUGACGCUGAGGAGCGGAAGCGUGGGGAGCGAACAGGAUUAGAUACCCGGGUAGUCCCUGUCUCUUAUAC
rnacentral:rRNA from 1 species